rnacentral:rRNA from 1 species
GAUAAACGCUGGCGGCGCACAUAAGACAUGCAAGUCGAACGAACUUAACUCAUUCUUUUAGUUUGAGAGCGGUUAGUGGCGGACUGGUGAGUAACACGUAAGCAAUCUGCCUAUCAGAGGGGAAUAACAGUGAGAAAUCAUUGCUAAUACCGCAUAUGCUAACAGUAUCGCAUGAUAUAGUUAGGAAAGGAGCAAUCCGCUGAUAGAUGAGCUUGCGCCUGAUUAGCUAGUUGGUGGGGUAACGGCCUACCAAGGCGACGAUCAGUAGCCGGACUGAGAGGUUGAACGGCCACAUUGGGACUGAGAUACGGCCCAGACUCCUACGGGAGGCAGCAGUCGGGAAUAUUGCGCAAUGGAGGAAACUCUGACGCAGUGACGCCGCGUAUAGGAAGAAGGUUUUCGGAUUGUAAACUAUUGUCGUUAGGGAAGAUACAAGACAGUACCUAAGGAGGAAGCCCCCGGGCUAACUAUGUGCCAGCA